rnacentral:rRNA from 1 species
UACGGGGGGGGCAAGCGUUGUUCGGAAUUACUGGGCGUAAAGGGCGCGUAGGCGGUUCGCUAAGUUGAAUGUGAAAACUCUGGGCUUAACCCAGAGCCUGCAUUCAAUACUGGCGGGCUAGAGUUCUGGAGGGGAUAGCGGAAUUCCUGGUGUAGCGGUGAAAUGCGUAGAUAUCAGGAGGAACACCAAUUGCGAAGGCAGCUCGCUGGGACGUUACUGACGCUGAGACGCGAAAGCGUGGGGAGCAAACAGG